rnacentral:rRNA from 1 species
GAUGAACGCUGGCGGCGUGCCUAACACAUGCAAGUCGAGCGAUUCUCUUCGGAGAAGAGCGGCGGACGGGUGAGUAACGCGUGGGUAACCUGCCCUGUACACGCGGAUAACAUACCGAAAGGUAUGCUAAUACGGGAUAAAGUGCUUUUAUCGCAUGGUAAAAGUAUCGAAGCUCCGGCGGUACAGGAUGGACCCGCGUCUGAUUAGCUAGUUGGUAAGGUAACGGCUUACCAAGGCGACGAUCAGUAGCCGACCUGAGAGGGUGAUCGGCCACAUUGGAACUGAGACACGGUCCAAACUCCUACGGGAGGCAGCAGUGGGGAAUAUUGCACAAUGGGCGAAAGCCUGAUGCAGCAACGCCGCGUGAGCGAUGAAGGCCUUCGGGUCGUAAAGCUCUGUCCUCAAGGAAGAUAAUGACGGUACUUGAGGAGGAAGCCCCGGCUAACUACGUGCCAGCCGCCGCAGUAACAC